rnacentral:lncRNA from 1 species
GUGGCAGUCCAAGUUCACACAGCCCUGGUCUGCUUGAAGUUGUUUGCAUACAUCAGUAUUUGGGAAACUAAGUUCGGUCCAAGAACAGAAAAUGUUUCCUGGCUACAUGGAGGGUAAAGCAAACGUGAAGUUGCCUCAUACGAGAAGAAUCCAGACAUGAGAAAUCUCAGCCUUUGGUCCAUUAUUUUGUAAAUCUGCUCAAAAGAGCAUGGAUUCACAAGAGAAGUGUCCAGGAGGAGGGUAGUGUCAGCCCCACUGCUCUGUGGGGCAGUAGGACCACAUCUCAGGCACUGGGUCCAGGUCUUGGCAGUCAGGAUGUCUCCAGGGGCUGUUGAGAAAUUGGAGUGCCUCCAGAGGGGAGCAAUGGGGACAGAAGAAUCUGGAAACUGGGUCAAAGAAGGAGCAGUUGAAUGAACAACGUGUGUUGGCCUGAAGAAGAUAAGUUGCAGCGGGGACAAGAAGCUGUUUUCAAAGUUUUCAAAGAUUUGAAGUGCUGUCAGGUGGAAGAGCAGUGAAAAUUGCGUGGCUCCAAACGGUAAAUACAGGACCAAUGAGUACGAGUCAUAGGGACGGUGUCCGCUGAAAAGAAGGAAGCAUUUUAUAAUCAUUAAAGAUGUUCAAAGUAGGUGGUGAUACUUGGUUAUAUAGGAAAUGUUUGUAUGAAGACUAGAUAUAUAUAAAAAUGUUGGAGGAAGAAUUUUUGAGCUUUUUUUUUUUGUCUCACCAAGCAAAUGAAACUUUUUGGAGAGAGAUGACCUAGCAAAAGAUUUUUUCUCUUGGUGAUCAGGAAAGGCAGUCUUUGCAGACCGAACCACUAGAGGGAGUCAGGGCAGCAGCGUUGCAAGGCCGCCGUCCAUUCUCUUCACCGAAGCAGCAACUGAUAGCCAGGCCUGGCUCUCAGGUUCUAAGUUCCCCUGAUUUCAAUAUCACCCCCAUGAAUCUUUCUGGAAUGUUUACAUCUGAUUAAAUUCUUCAAUGUCUGAGAGGCCUCUGUGUGUAGAGAGGCACAAUCACUGCUAUUUGUAGUCUGCUUACAUCUUUAUUAAUUAUUUAAUAAACAGUAUUCUCCUAAAAAUUCAAAUACUCCCUAAACGACUAAAAAUGAAAACUUAUGCAUUUAACAAAUGUGACAUUUUCCAAAUAUCUAAAUAUUAGUUUAUAAACUAAUUGAUUAUCCUAAAUAUAUGUAAUAUAUAGUGUAUAAUAUAUAUAUACUUCUAAAAUCACAAAUAUCCUAUAUCUAAGUCUUUUAAAUGCUACAAAUGCCUUAAAAGCAGAAACACACAAAUGAAUCAUCACAAUGAUACAUAUACAAAGUGAUGAAAUAUAGCUAAAAAGAUUUCCAAGCAAAGUGUUGAAGGUACCACCUGGUUUCUUCUUGGUGCUUAUAGUAAAAUGCAAGAGGAGAGUGAUAAAUCGAGGGAAGAACUGUUAAACAAAAAGGAAUCAAAGAUGAUUCUGAAAAUUCUCAGUCUCUCCAGAUGGCAAAAGAUGUUAAAAUUAAGAAAUCACUUUUGAGCUUGUGGCAUAGAGAUAAGUCCUGGCCUAGAGAAAAAGCUAAGUAGUGAUUGUACAAGCUUUUGUUAAAAUCUCAGGAAGAUUAAGGGAUCAGAGUAGUAUUCAGUCAUACAAAGGGCCCUCUCCAGAGAUUAAUGGUGUAUCUCACAGAACCUCUCAAAUAAUAGGACCUUUUGGAAGCUUAAUUGAGUUAUCUUUCAACCAUCUCAGCAGGAACUCAAGGUAGAAGGGGGCCUAGCUCAAAAAGAACCUUGGAUGUGGCCUUUAUGUAAAGGGAAAUUUACUGGAGACCCACAAAGUAUUUAAGAAAAGUAUUUCAGCAAAAACACUGCCAACUUAAACUGAAAGGGACGGAAAGAGUACAAAAUGAAAGGAGGCUGUUAGAUCUCCAAAAUUCUACUGGCAGGAAGCAGAAUGAUAAAACUACUCAGCUGCAAACAUGUGCUACUUUUCAUGAAAAAAGGAAAGAUGACUCAGAGGGUGGAACCAAGAGCUAUGGUGAAUUAUUCCCAGCCCUUGAAAUCUAAUCAAAGAAUUCUGACUGAAGUUUGCUAGGCUGGGUUUUAAAACUGCUUUGGACUGUAACUCCUUUUUAUCUUCCAUUGCCCACCUCUCCUUCUCUUUUUAACUAGAAAUGUCUAUAACUAUUUUACUAUAUUCAUUCCUUCAUUGUGCAUUAGGAGCAAGACGAUUUGUCUUUAGUUUUAUAGAUUGAGAGGAACUACGCUCAAGGAGCCUCAUGCAUACCUGGACCUGAUUUAAAUGAUGAGAUGCUGGACUUCAAGCAGAUGCUGUAAUGAUAUGAGGUUCUCAGGGACCUUGGGAAAUAGUAAAUGUAUUUUGUGUGUGAGAGGGACACAAAUCAUUGGAGGCCAAAAGGGUGAACUGAGGACAGAUGCUAGGGUAGCUCCCACAAUCCCCACCUCCUGGUUUCACCCUUGUGGGAUCUCGCCAUGAGUGUGGAUGGAACCUGUGAUUUGCUUCUAACUAGUAGAAUUUGGCAAAAAAUGAUGAGAUAUAUGUGAUUAUGUUUACAUGAUUAUAUUAUAUAAGAUUCUGAGUACAUUGAGCUGCAUAGAGAGAGCACGGGGGCAAGUGAGAGCCAGGUGGGUACUGGAAAGCUCUGUGCCUCACUGAGGAAAAAUAACUAAACAUGGGCAAAAGAGAUCCAUGGAACCUGAGAGGCAAGGUGUUAUUAUAUGCAUUCUUUGGCAAACUUGUCAGGAGGCGCAUAAGAAGAAGCACCCAGAUGGUUCAGUCAACUUCUCAGUUUUCUAGGAAGUGCUCAGAGAGGUGCAAGACCAUGUCUGCUAAAGAGAAAGGGAAAUUUGAAGACAUGGCAAAGGCGAACAAGGCUCGUUAUGAAAGACAGAUGAAAACCUAUAUCCCUCCUAAAGAUCCCCUUUAGGACGAAAAAGUAGUUCAAGGAUCCCAAUGCACCCAAGAGGCAUUCUUUGGCUGUUUUCUUGUUCUGUUCUGAGUAUUGCCCGAAAAUCAAAGGAGAACAUCCUGGCCUAUCCAUUGGUGAGUUGUAAAGAAAUUGGAAGAGAUGUGGAAGGGCACUGCCUCAGAUGAUAAGCAGCCUUAUGAAAAGAAGGCUGUGAAGCUGAAGGAAAAAUAUGAAAAGGAUAUUGCCUCAUACUGAGCUAAAGGAAAGCCUGAUGCAGCAAAAAAGGGAGUUGUCACGGCUAAAAAAAGCAAAAAAAGGAAGAAGAGGAAGAUGAAGAUGAUGAUGAUGAUGAUAAUGAGUAAGUUGGUUCUAGCACAGUUUUUUUUCUUGUCUAGAAAGCAUUUAAACCCCCUGUUUACAACUCCUUUUAAAGAAAGACAUUGAGAUGUAAGGCUGUGUAACAUUUGUUUUUAAACUGCACAGUGUCUUUUUUGUAUAGUUAACACACUACUGAAUGUGGCUUUAGAUAGCCCUGUCCUGGUGUAUUUUCAAUGGGCACUAACCUUGCCUGAUACAGUAUGGGGGUUGUAAACUGGCAAGGAAAUUUAAAGCAGGUUCUUCUUAGUGCACAGCACAAAUUAGUUAUACAUGGGGAUGGUAGAUUUUUUAUUUUCACUUGUCUCUGAUGCAGCUUAUAUGAAAUAAUUGUUGUUUUGUUAACUGAAUACCACUCUGUAAUUGCAAAAAAAAAAGUGGCAGCUGUUUUGUUGACAUUCUGAAUUCUGAAUGCUUCUAAGUAAAUACAAUUUUUUUAUUAGUAAAAAAAUGUUCUAAUCCAUCUUUCCAGGAGAUUCUCUCUCCCUUGCUGUCUUUGAAAAAGCAAGUUGCCAUGUGAAGAGGGCCAUAUAGCAUAGGAGCUGAAGGCAGCCUCCAACUGACGGCAAGAAAAUGAGGUCCUCAGUCUGACAACCUGCAAGAAACUGAAUGUUCUAAAAGCCACAUGAGCUUGGGAGCAGAUCUGACCCCAGCCAAAUCUCUGAAGUCCGCAGGCAGGAAAUGAAGAUCAGAAAAAGGCUAUUGUCUCAUGAAUAUGAGCCAGACUCCACAGAAGCUGGAGUCCUUCAUUAUGGAGCUAAACACAUACACCUGGCUUAGGAGUCAGAAAAACUGAAAGAGAAUUCAGGGAAGUAGAGAAAUUGCAAGCCCAGAUGCUGCUUCAUACCAAAGAAGCAAGUCAGCAGGUCAGCAACAAUGUGUAUCAGUUCCAAAAUGACUUACACAGCUAGCUGAAAGCAGAGAACCCAGCAGAGGAUUCUGGGAAGGUCCUGGGGGAUGGCAGAGCCAGCAGAGAGAGGGUAUGGAUCCACCAGGCAUAGGAUGGAACAGAG